UUACUUGGAGAAUGACUUGAUUUAGAUGAGCGUGUACAAUUCUGUUUGUGAUAUGUGGAAAGACGAAGUAAACGAAGUGUUCCUUUUAUUUAUUUAAAUACUGAUUCUGCGAGCAAGCGACAGCGGAUCAUUGGCCGCUGUACCGUGAAAUUGAGUUAAUGAUAAAACACUGCAGCUUGCCACCAUCACUGAUGAUUCAAUAUCGUUCGGCGACUAUCAUCGAGCUACAUCACCAACGGGAUACAAUAAAAAAUUAAACAGAAAAACAAAUGCGAGCAGCAUCAGUUACAGCGUCUUCAGUGAGUAUAGCCGGUUGCAUAGUCGGCGACUGAAAUCUACGUUUAUGCAUCCCGGUCUGAAUAGCAGUAACACACUGAACAAUACCACUAAUAAUUCAAAUUUAAAUUAAAUGGAUUCUAAUUUAAAUUCGAACUAAAAAUGAACUAAAAUCAAAUUGAAAUCAUUUUGAAACAAAAAUCCAAUUGUAUUAAAAUUAAAUUGAAACAAAAUUAAAGUUAAAUUGAACUUAAUCAAAAUUGAA